GAGCCAUCAGCCCAGAGCCCGACGCGGGGCUCGAACUCAUGGACCAUGAGAUUGUGACCUGAGCUGAAGUCAGACGCUUAACUGACUGAGCCACCCAGGCACCCCAGGGUCUAACUUCUUUCAAUAUGGAGAGAACCUGUUCUAUGGGCACCACCUUUGCCUUCAGUGAGCCAAGAAGUUCCAGAAGUGAUGCCUCAGGUGAGGGAAUGUGAGACACCUCCUUGAGAUUCACAAGUUUGAAGACAGAGAAGAAGACAGAACCACUUAAUGAUAAAGAAAUGAAGACUUAAAGAGAAUAACUCAACUACUAUAAGGAAGAGCCAGACUUUCUAUCCAAGCAUGGCUGAAAUUCAUACCCAAGUCUCUCUCCAUAACAAGAAUAAAAUCUCCAACAGAAACCAGGUAACUACCCUUUCGAGACUAGAGAUAAUUUCCCCCAAGUUUCUAGAAUACAGGCUAGCAAAUAGUAGAAAUGAAAUAAAAGAUUUCUGAAUAAAAGGAUCAGCCUACGUCAAAGGGCACACUAUCACAGUCACGUCUUCUAUAUUGGGUUCUCACUCUUAGAGUAAUGAGAAACUAUUUGAAGAAGAUAAAAAUGACUAUGGUAUUGCUGAAGGAGGAGAAAAAACAGCAUUUGAAAUAAUAUG